rnacentral:misc_RNA from 1 species
CCGAGUGCGGGUCCCUCGCGGCCCAACCUCCCACCCUUGUCUCUAUACACCUGUUGCUUUGGCGGGCCCACUGGGGCCACCUGGUCGCCGGGGGACGCAUGUCCCCGGGCCCGCGCCCCGCCGAAGCGCUCUGUGAACCCUGAUGAAGAUGGGCUGUCUGAGUACCAUGAAAAUUGUCA